rnacentral:misc_RNA from 1 species
AUAUGUACAGUGUUGAGUGAGUCUGCAACUUAUCCACUUUCUAUAAAGUGUACCAUUUUAUAAGGAUCAAUCAAUUUUUUUUAAUCUCACAUGUAAGAGGAACUCUACCCCACCACAAGACGCUGUUUUUAUGCAUGCAUAGAUCUUCCAGGCAUCCUUUGCCCUUAUUAUACCAAAGGAAAUACAUUUUUGAAGUAGCCGUUUUCAUGUCUAAACAAUAAAUUAACAAAUUGCCUUAAAAAAGGGGUAUCUUUAGGAGCAAAUGAAUCUCAUUGAAAAUGAAUUGCCAAAUUUCCAAUCUUGUAUGAAUUGUAAGGCGGAAUAAAGAAAAAAUAUUCCUACAUCAUAGAAGAAAAUCUAAAUCCAAACCCAUACAUGCAGCGAACAACAGUGAGAAAGGGAAGGGGAAGCCAUUAUCAGUGGAGCAGUAUUCAAUCAAACUCAACAACCUGCACUCUAUUUUCCCAGCAAACGACGACCACGUUGAUUUGCACCUUUAACACGGAAAUUUAGUUCAUCCACAUCAUCCUGGAAAUGAUCCAGAGCUUUGGUUUGCCUCUCAAUUUCAGUCCCCAUGUCAACAGCCAUAUCCUUCAGCUCUCCCAACAGAUUACUCAAAUCUGAAAGCGCAUCAUCUUGCUUUUCUUUUUCCAACUCAACUUUCUGGAAUGCAUUGGUAGGUUCAGCCAAAGGUGUUCGAGUGUUUGACCGUUCCUUGGCUGCAGAAUUCAAUCCCAACUUCUCCCUCUGCUCCAUGUGGCUACCUCUUGUUUUGGGAUAAUCACCUCCUGUGAUAACAGGGCCUGUAAUUGGACGAUUCUUCUUUGGCUUCCAAGUUCUAGAGAAAAUGCCUCCAAGACUUCCUAGAAGCUUCUCUCCCCGACUAAGAUCAUGAUCCGUCUCAACUGCAACAUUAUGGGUCUUGGUUAUUUGCUCCCCCUGCUGAUGUAAAGUGAUCAAAGUUUUGGUAGCGUCCUCUCUGAUUUCCUCAGCAAUCUUCAGGCAGCCAUUGACCUCCUUUGUAGUCUCCUCAGCCUUGUAUACAGCAUAGUUCUCCAAUUCUUGCACUGAUUGGUUCUCUAGUCCUCCUGAGUCACGGAAAUCAUUCUUGUACUUAUUUCUUGCUGCUGAAGCAGCUGAACUGAAGGAAUACAAAGAUGAAGAAGAUGUCUCUCUUUCCUCAUCAUCAUCAAAAGGAUUGGUACUAAAAUCUGGUGUAGUCAGAUUGGGUUCUGAAGAAGUUUUCCUUGAAGGUUUAAGGGUUUGCUUUUUGUCCAACUCGUCAUCAGAAUCAAAAGGGUUAGGACGAGGAGGAUCAGGAUAUUCAGGGUCAACCUUGCUACGCUUGCCGAGCUUCAAGGGAGAUUUUUUCAAACCAAACAUUCUCCCCAAAAAUAAAAUGCAGACAGAUCAGGCAGCUGAUGAAUAAUCAGUUAAAAUUUCUGAUAUUGUGGAGAAAAGAGUUGCAGAAACUGAGGACAAAAUUCAAUCCAAAGAAUC